rnacentral:tRNA from 1 species
UCGGCGGUGGGGGACGCGGUGGUCUCGGAACCGCUGGUGUCGGCCCCCGCGAUCGCGUCGUCGCCCUUGGAGUUCGCGUCUUCACCUCCGCA